UCGGAUGAGCUAAAGCAAAAUUUCUCCGCGCCGCCGGCUGCUUUUCAGAAGGCCAGCCACUCUUUCGUAAGCCCUUGUGGCGAAAACGAGGGAGGGGGGCGGUGCUGGAGAAAAACCACAACAAUAAGCAAUAUUUCCGGCGAUAGAUCUUGUUCCAAAUAUGGUCCGGGGAAGACUGCGGGAAGAGACAGAGCGACCGACACGUUUAGAAAACUCCUGGCAGUGACUCUUAAUCCGAUCACCAGAAGAUUGAGGCUCCAGCUUAGCAUGUUGACAUCAGGGACACAUUUGCAAAGCGAUUUACAUGCAGCUGUCCAUGUUGGGGUUUUAUGCACCAGCGAAGAAAAUUGCUAUUGACAGGUGAGUAAUUUGAAUUCCCUGAGUACCUUCAACUUUAUCUCCUGCCGGGCUUCUUCUCCUUUUCUUAGUUCAGUAGUUUUGCAGACAUGUAUGGCUUCGCUAAUGUUUUACACGACCCCACCUCCAAGUUUCCUCAGGCUCGUCGUCAGAUGUCCCCAUACUUUCUGGGCGGCGGGUGUGAAAAAUCGGGGUGGGGAAUAGUAAAUUAAAACAUAAUUGGAGUUGUUACAGUUGCUGAAUACAGCUAUUCGGGAACCCGUAACUUUUGCGGGACGGAGCUUUGAGUUAACAUCGCUGCGGGAAAAGUACAAAUCCAUUGUAUGAAGAGACACAAGUACAUUUUAUACAUGUUUUAGUGGUAUAGAGUGAAAGAUGCGUUUGAAAAGUAAUCACACGGAACCUGCUUUCUUGGAAUCGCCUAUUUGAAUGUAGUAAAUCCCUUGAAAUAGUCGCAGGAGCUAGUCAAUACAGAGACAAUAGUCAAUUGAGUUUACGCCAAGGAGGCAGUGGUUCUGUGGCAUUUUUAAAAGUAAUACCAAGAACAACAACAAUCACAGAAGUAGGGGGGGGCUUUCUCAAAGGGAGCAGUGUAAUAAAUACGUCAGAGUAAAGACCUUUGUAGGGUUGCAAGGUAGCAGUUUCAAGCAUAGCUAUUUAAUAGGAUUAUAGUUUUAAAUGCCUGUGAUCUGUUCCAUUCAUCUUGUCUUUGAGUGAUCUAUAUUUAGAACUCUCUAUUGGAUGCUUGUCUGUUGCCAGUGGACCUUUUUUUUCUUGCAAGUUUUCCUGCAAAUUGACAUAGAUUCAAUCCUUCUUGUUUUCCCUGCUGCUGCUGCUUGUGAGUGAAGGGAAAGUAAGCAGGUAUUUAAAAUUCAAGAAUUUUAGUAUUUUCAUGACCAUAUUAAAACGCUGUAAGGAAGACAUAUACAUAAAUGGAUUUCCAGGGUAAGUUUAGAUCAUCCUUGCAAAUAAUUAUUUGCACAACUUGUUCAGGGCAAGUAACAAUUCCUUCCCUGCAAGCAACUUGCCAGAGCUACUGACAAAUAUGACCCAUCAUUUAUUGGUGAGAUUAGGACUUUUGUGACAUGGUCAGUUUAUACUUAUUAUCCUCAAGCUUGCCUUGCCUGGAAACAAGGUGUAAGCAACGUGGUGUGCUCUAUACUGCUGUUGGAUUACAGCUCCCAUCAGCCCCUGCCAACAUGGUCAUUGGUCAGGGAUGAUGGGAGUUGUAGUUCCAAAACAUGGAAAAGCAUCAUCUUGGCUAUCCCUAACCCCAUUAAACACAACGGAAACUAAGUAAACACCACAGGAUUGUUCUGUAUCAAAGGAGUACCAGUGUUGGACUCAACCACAGUUCCCAUGGUUCUUUGGAAGAAGCUGUAACAGUAAACCAAUUUUAAAAUAGUUUGAAUCUGUCAUUUAUGUGUGCUCUAACAAAGCUAUCAAGGGAACUUCAUUGGAGGGGGAGCAAGGGAUAAAUUGGUGAAGAAAAAAAGGUAAAAUACGGUAAAUACAGUAUAGCAAAAAAUACAGCAAGGAAAAGCCAAGGAAGAGGGGAAAUAAUCUAAAAGAAAAGCAACAAAAAUGUGUGUUGCCUUAAACAGUAAACACUUGCCAGUUUCUCCUCACUUGACAGUGAAAUGUUGUAUCCAGAUACCCUGUUUGCUUUAAUUACUGUUUUCAUCGUAACAGUGUUUCUUGAAACAAUAUAGGCAGUCUCAAAAGUUAUUUUGAAAGCAUACCCUACGUCCUGCUUUUUGUGACAUGGAGUGAGACCUGGUAAAAGAGAACUUCCCAUGUUGUGCUUUCCAUUUUUCUUUAGGACCAUACACAUUGGUUGAUCUAGAUAUGAGCAUUUGAUAGUGGUGUUGGCAGAUUGUGGCAGGAGAAGAAAAGUGUUUUCUCCCUGGUGCCACCGCUAGAUCUAAGUAGUCUUUUAGAUAUGCUUAAUUUGUAGUGUGGGGUGUGCUUGAGCUGAAUCUUGACAUAGAAUUCAAAACAUUUAACUUGAAAAUCAUUCACUAAUCCCAGAUAUGUGUCAUGCGGCUGUGAUUACUCAGAGAUGAAAAUCACUCUGCAUGUGCUCAGAGGUGCUGCCUUUAUUGUGAUUCAUAUGCUUCAGGUUUAUGUGUUGAGAUUAACUAGUUUAUAUUAAGAUCUGCCAUCAGUGGAAAUUUGUUUUAGCAUUAUAGUCAGGGUGUGCCAAAAAAAAGCAGUUAGCAGGUGAGUAUUUUGGAAGCCUGUUUACAUUCUAAAGAAAUAUAUUUGUUAUGUUUUAUGAUUCUCAUGGUGUUUUAUCUGGACUCCUAAGUUUGAAGUAUAGAUGAUGAAGGAACAGCAAAGCCUCAGGCAGCAUCAGUUCUUUCACUGAAGGGAUUUCCAUGUUCCAAGAUGCACAUGUUCUUCUUGCAGUGUGAUGCCAAGCAUCAUUAAAUAAAUUUGGAAGUCUAAUUACUCCUGCAUUCAGUGAAGCUUAGAUAGUUUUUUUCAUUAUCCUUAAUGAUAUGGGCACAAUUCACUAGGAACUUCUCCCAUACAGAUUUCAUUAAAAUGGAUGGGAUUCGCAAUAUGUAUUGAUUUUCAAUAAAACUUGGAAGAAUGCAAAGAGCAAUGUGCUUUGUGCAAUGGCUCCACCAGUAGGGGAUCCUUAGCCUCAGUUCUGCCCUCUUAGACUUUAGAUGUAUCAAUUGCCUGUUCAGGGAACUCCGUGUGCAACUAAUUACUACACCUCUUAAAUUACCGUAUCCACUGGCAUUAUGAAAUUCCACUUCAUCUCUGACACAACCCAUUGCCCAGAUGGCCUCACUCCCUUCUGUACUAUUAAUUAAGGUGUGCAUCCGGUAAUUAAAAAACACAAAUACAACAGUACUUUUGAAAGUCAACAUUUGUAACUAGACAUAUCUAUUUAUGCCAGUAGUAAAAGCUUUAGGGUGAGCAGUCAGGGAGGACCAUGGAAAUUAUAUAAUAGUUGUUUCCCUUGUAAGGUAGCUAAUAUGUUGGGGUGCACAGAACAGAUGUAAGUUACUACUUCUGCCAUUCACUUAGUUCUGGAUUCAUUCCAUCCUCUGUGAAAUAGCAAAGAUAAUAACAUCUCUUCAGUAUGGCUUGUCAGACUUUAACCAGGACUUUCCAUCUCCUGUUUCUAUAGAAAGUAUAGCAUAAUAGUGUUCCAUGGUUUCUGGAGCUUCUGAAAUGAGCAAGCAGAGGUGAAUAUAACUGUGGCAAAAUGCUGAUCUGCUGUUAUUAGUCUGAAAGCUGCUCUUCUGGUUCUCUCUCUCCACCUAAAUAGAACUGGCCUUGACUGGUAAUUAAAUGGGAGGGUGCUUGGAACUCUGUAAAUGCUGUCAAGGAAGACGCUAAUAUAUUGUAAUAGUUAAAUGAACCCAAUAUUACUCAUGCCUACAUGAUCUCUUACAGACAAAUAAUAUUCCUAUCAUCAAAGAUCCCAUUUAAUAACAAGCUCUGCAAACAUUUUUUGAUGAUCAAACAUUUAAAAGACUGUAUUUUAUAAGAAUGCUUGGAUGUUUUGACAUUAAUAUAAUUGGCAGGCAAGAAGCAGGAUCCAGCAGAAAUUUCAUGAACAGCAAGCAGUUUAUUUUAGCUGUUGCUAAUAGUCUUAAAAGGUAUAACGUGCCUGCAAAAUGCCUACUUCUUUCUUCCUUUGUUUAUAUUUGCUAUUUAUAAUUUAUAAAGCAUAUAUUUUAUACCAUGCACUGAACAUUACUUAAAAGAAGUGAACUGUGCUUUCAGAGUAACAAUCUAAUUUUUUUAUUGUAUAUAUAAAACAGUAUGUUCCCUUGGGUUCAAUAAGGUUACAACAGCAUUGAUAUUAAAUAUUGUUGUGGGAGUGUUGUUUGAGCUCUGGGCCUUGGGUAUUGUACUGUGGCACAGCGCAGCUGUUCACAACAAUCACCCACUUCUUACACAAACUGCAACAGAGAGAUUUGCACUGUUUGUGGAUUAUUACAUAGUGAUCACUUUCAGAUGCUGUUCAUUCAGCAAAAGAUGGGGGUCCCACAAAACAAUAUACCUUGGAUGUCAAAGGCCAGGGUAGAGAAGUGUGUCCUCAGCAUAUAGUGAAAGCUGUACAGUGAAGCACCUCUGUGGAGAGGGAGUUCCACAGAUAAAGCCCUCUUCUGGACUGCCAUGCCCCACACUUCUGAGGGUGUCUCAGAACUACCAAUAGAACCCCCUGUGCACAUCUUAACACCCAAGAGUAUUGGUCAAGAUGGAGACAGUCUUUCACAUGUUUGGAACCUGUCAUUCAGGACUUUUAGACACUAAUGUGUGCACCUCAAAUAGGUCCUAGAAACAAACAGGUAACUAAUGUGGCUAUUUUAAAAUGGGAUCAUAUAAGUUCUAACUGCAGGGGUGGGGAAUCUUUGGCCCACGGGCCAACUUGACCAACCAGGGGUUCCACUUUGGUCCUCCAGGCUAUUCCACCCCCCCCCAAAAAGCCCCACACCUACCCACCCACCAGCUGGUGUCACUGCUGUCAGCUGAUGGGCAGGAAGACAGGGUUUAAUCAUGAGUUGGCAGUGCUCCCAGCAGGGAACAGGAUCAUGCUGCCAGGCAGCAGGAUCUAAUCUCCGCUUUUCAGCUGAUGAGCAGAGAUUAAAGUCAUUUGUCUUCUCCUUUCAGCAGGUAAUGGGGUGGCGCCAAUGCUACUUUCUACCUGCUUAAAGGAGAAGCAGAGCAAGGUGCUGUUCCCUUGGGGUGGAGGCAAGGAAAGAAGUUGCUUCAAAGGAUGCUUUGCCACUGUAAGUCAGUCUCCAUGCUUCCAAUGGAAGCACAGCACAAAGACUGCCUUUAAGCACCAUUUCCACCAAGCUCCCUCCGCCUUUAAAGGAAGAGAGAAGCUGGUUCAAAGGUUGCUUUGCCGCUUUAAGAGAGCCUCUGUGCUUUCAUCUUGAAUUAAGAUGGCGAAGUGAAUCUUCCAAAUCUGAAUUGAUUUUAACCACUUAUUUCAAAACUUCACUGAUUUUGUGGUUUCUUAGAGUGCCCAAGCAACUAUAGGUAAGAGCUUGCUAGUAUAAAAUAUAUAUGAAGAGGAUUUGGGUGAAACUUCAUUGACACACAGAAUAAUCCUAUAUGUGUCUACUUACAAGUGAGUCCCAUUUAAGUCAUUGGGGCUUACUCUCAGGGUUGUAGUCACAGGUGUAUCUUUAAUCAAAUACUCCAAGAACAAUGAACAUAGUUAGGCUAAGCCUUAGCAGAUGAAGCAUUGCCAGUUGAUUUCAGAAAAAAAAAACAUCCAGGCAUUUUAGAAAACCCUUUUCUGGAUUAGUCCAACAGCAUUAUUUUAACUGGUAGGAGGACUGGCAUUUUUUCGCUCACAUACUUUAACAACAGCCCAGCACACACUACUAUCCAAAGAACAGCAAGAGGAAUUCUGCUCAUGCAAAGAGCUUUUGCUGCUCCCUUUCCUGCUUCAACUCUUUACGCCUGCUGAAAUCUGUUCCCUGGGUUGGUAUACCCUCCUGAACAGCAUGACACAGGCUGUAACUGAAGGGUGGUGGGGAGAAUCAGCAGGAAAUGGUAAACCUCUUCCUCCCACACUACUAGGAGCUCUUUCGAUGUAAGCCGCAGGGAUUAGAUAAUGCUUCGUUCCUUAAAAUGUUCACAUGUAAGUAAAGCUUUAAAAGGUAUGGAAUGGAGAUAAGUAGAAGGAUACCUGAAAAAACUCAGUUGUUUGGUGAAUUUUUGUAUAGGGGCUUGUAGUUAAAACCAUAGGAGCAGGAGCAGUUUUUCCUUUUUUUAAAAAAAGAAGUGAUAACUCUGACUGGUGGGCAGAAAGGCCAAAGGUAGAGAAAGUCUUGGAAAAACCUAUGAGCCACUUAGCAACAAAAAUUACAUAGUGAUAAUAAUUAGCAACUGCCAUGAUCAGCAGGUGUGCUAAAUGUAACCAUAAAUGAGCCUAGUCAAGAAUUCAAAUAAUUUAUGUCUCAUAGGAAAUGAGAGCUGUUAAAUGUUUGGAAAAUGAGAAACUGAGUGAAAGAGCUGAAUGGUCACUGUCUUUCCCCCACAUUUUUACAUAUUAUGUCAUGUCAUAGUUUAUUUCUAUACUUUUUAGGCAAAGGUCCCUGAAGCGCCUAACAAAAAUUAAAACACAGAUUGCAUAGUAAAAUACAAAUCAUUGCAAAUGAAUGUAUGUUGCAUUUUAAUAUACUGCUACCAGCACAGUUUUUUAAAAGACUGAAAAUGCACAACGCCAAGAGGUCAGUAGCAACAGGCUCAGUUCUCAUAAAAGGCUUAACAUCUGCCACGAGGGAGAGAAUGAAUAAAUCAAAUGUGUUUCCUAAGGAAUGCAGUUCCAAAGUCACCAUGGAGAAAGUCUAGUCUCACAUACCCACCAACCUAAUGGUAGGAUACAGAACAGUGCCCCCUCCAAAGUUCUCAGCAAGUGAGCAGGCACACAAAGUGAACUGCUCCUACUUGAUCCAAGUGUCUCCAUCAGCAUCCUAAUUCAAGAUCAAGCCCUGGUUGGCCAAGGUCCAUUUAGUGACCAGGCAUUCAACAGUAGGCUAGGAGGGAAGUCACCAUAGGUUGGGAGAAGAAUUGGAAAGGGAAAUUCUCUUACAUUCUUAACCUUUGCUCCCCUGGAAGAGCCUAACCUUUUACUGCCAUCUCCUUCAGACCACUACACUCAUAAUUGCGAGGCCUAGUCCCUCUUACCCAAUAAACAUAUCCUCCCUCUACCAUCUAAAAAUAGUAUAAAAUAUCCAGAAAAUGCAAAACAGGCAGGAAAUAAUACAGAAAAAAGGCUUUAAGGCUAUGAACCAUAUUUCAAAGUGGAGCAGUGAGAAGAGGAACCAGAAUUGCAGGUGGCAACUGAGAAAGCCCCCCUCUUUCCAAUGUAAUAUAAAAUGUAAGGUGCCGGGCAGUGUUAAUAAUGCGACCCUUUCAUAUAGAUUGGUUUUGGUUGUUGUUGUUCUUCCAACUCUACAACUAUUAUUAUUAUUAUUAUUAUUAUUAUUAUUAUUAUUUAUUAUUUAUACAUCACCCAUCUGGCUGGGUUUCCCCAGCCACUCUGGGCAGCUCCUAACAGAAUAUUAAUAAUAAAAAAGUGACAUCAAACAUUAAAAACGUCCCUAAACAGGGCUACCUUCAGAUGUCUUCUAAAAGUCAGAUAGUUGUUUAUUUCCUUGACAUCUGAUGGGAGGGCAUUCCACAGGGCAGGUGCCACUACCGAGAAGGCCCUCUGCCUAGGUCUCUGUAGCUUCACUUCUCACAGUGAGGGAACCUCCAGAAGGCCCUCAGAGCUGGACCUCAGUGUCUGGGCUGGACGAUGGGGGUGGAGAUGUUCCUUCAGGUAUAGACUCAAUAUAGAUUCUAUAUUGUAAUCAACAUCCCAAGGACCUUUAUAGGUAUGGUAUGGUAUGGUAUGGUAUGGUAUGGUAUGGUAUAUGUCCUCCAAGUACUCCAAGCCCACAACAAUGGAAAGAGCAGAAGCAGGACCAGCAGUAAGAACAUAAGAAGAUGGAACAUUUAUUGAAGGAAAUAUUCUCCUUUCCCCCUUAGCCGGCCAAGGACCCAGACCUAGAAUGGAGACAGCGUGAAUUAUUGAGAAUCUCUGCCUCUGGGAUGUUGCACCAGUUAUGCUCUUGCCCAAUUUUAUAAUGAGACAGAAUUUUACUGAUAAUAUAUCCAAUGCAGAUGGAGCUGUCUGAGUUCAUUAUUUCUGCAAGCAGGAGAGUGUUUUAAAAAUAAACCCUAGAGCAUAAGAAAACCUUUGUCUCAUUCCAAGACAAUAUGGUGAGACUGUGCCCUAGAGAGGCAGUCUUGGAUGCACUCCACCACGGAACUUCAAGGGGUGUCGGAUAACACCAAAAGACUCAGUAGUAAGACAAAGUUUAACAUUAAUUAAAAUAAUUACUGCAAAAUAUGUUUAUUUCAUGAAUAUCCAGCUGCUUCUACAAACUGUUUUUGCUUUGUAAAAUUGGCCUGAAUAGUUAAUGGCGGGACAAGGGGAUACUGUCAACAACAGGUGUAGCAAAGGCAAUUUUCAAAAACCCAACCUUAUUUCCAUCAAAGUUAGAAUGCAAACUACUGGGCAUCAAAGCUGAUUUGAUAACUGCACACUUACAUGGUUUUGUCUUUAAAAUGUUAUUUUAAAAAUAUGAUUGGAGAGGUAAAAUGUGCUUUGCAAAUAUUGAAUUAAUUAAAUUAGGGUACAGUAUCCCACACAUUCUGUUAUAUCCAUGAUACAGGCAGCUAACCAGGCACACCUCAACCAUACCUGAACGGAAUCCCUGAAGUUCCAGAGGUUGUGAAACCCAUUUUGUUCCUGGAACAGAUUUUGUUGCUGUACUGCCAAUUCACAGUCACAAAAACCCCUAAACCAGAAAUAUAUUUUUUUUGUUUAUAGAGUAUACUUUGUGUAGUUUUCAUAUUUUCUAGACAGGACAAGUAAAAUAUCUAAACAAUAACAUAAAAGCCAAAUCACAUAGUUACCUGGAAGUAAGAUACACUGAUUUCGAGGUGAGCCUUUGAUUUUUGCAGCUGAUGGGUCGCAAACCCUCAGUGUGUUAGGGACUUCCCCUGCAUACAAAGGCUCCAGUGGCUUGAGCAUAUGAGACCAAUAAUGGGUCCAACGGUCAAGAAGAUGGUUUCUGCAUGGGCUGUAGAGGGAAGUGAGGCGCAGAUGGGACUCACCCACCUGGGAAGGUAGCCCGUCUAGGAGAAGGAAAACUCAUCCUAAACCUCUACUGUCUUGCGGCAUAUCUUCAGGAGAAGAAAAGGCUAAGGAAUAAACCCUACACAAAUCCAGAGUGGAGUUCCUAUGCCGGUUGGAUGGUGCCUUGUACGCCUCCUUCUGAUAACUCCUGCAGCCAAGCUGGCGCCAAACGUAUUCUGGGAAGAGGGUCUUAUUGUCUGGGCAGCCCAUGACCUCCAUAUACACUGCUCAGGCUUGCAUCCUGGGGAGGUCAUUUUUGGUGCUGCUAAUGCAGCAGUUUGACUUCACUCGUGGAGGUGCACUCCAUUGUCUCAAGACAGACGGAUGCCAACAAAAUGUACAAUAUUUUCAUGGAGUUCCUAUUGAUUUAACUGGGAAUUGUGCAGAACGUCCUGCUGAACUGUGUCAUUUUUACAGCAGGUUCUCCGCCUCUUCAGCAUUUGGAACCUUAUCUACACCUGGAUGGCUGCCAGCAGGAGUCCUUAUGCAGAUCACUGCUUUGAGGAAACAAAUCCCCUGUCAGGUGUGGGUGUACCAUUUCCAGACGUGGUCGAGUCUGUCCAUCCGCCAACUGCCUUCACCUACAUCUGCUACAUCCCCAUUUGGGAAAUUACAAGACUGAAAACAUUAUGUUGAAAUAGCGAGACGUCCUUCAUAUGUUUCAUAUUGGCUACCGUAAUAAAAUUAACCAAGAACAGAAACAGCCUCAUGAGGAAUUAAUCCUGAAACAAGUAUAAUACUUAAUUACUUCUCCGGCAGAAGGGUCAACACUAUGCAUACAUAUACAUACACACACACACACACACACACACACACAUAUAUGUAUAAACAACAAACAGAUUGUUCUCACUUAUAGAUGGGACUAAAAAAACAUUAGGAAUUCAAAAUGAUUGAGCUAAUUAUCCUUAACAGAUUAAUCUGACAAGUAUAAAUAUAUUGGUUGGGUAUACUUUAACUCAACAUAGCGUGUUCUUGCUUACCGUAAUUUAGGAGCUAGAGUGGAUUAUCUUUACCUGCUUUCUAGUUAGAUCAUUCUGUAAUUAGUUACUGCUUUUCUAUCAAUUAAAACCAGACCUGGUUCACUAACUCCCCACCCCCCGCCCCCAGUCUUAAUGUUAUAGCCAAGAAGACCCUGCCCCAUAUACCUACCAACCGUG